AACCUGCCCAAGAGAUCGGGAUAACACCUGGAAACAGAUGCUAAUACCGGAUAACAACAGAUGAUGCCUAUCAACUGUUUAAAAGAUGGUUCUGCUAUCACUCUUGGAUGGACCUGCGGUGCAUUAGCUAGUUGGUAGGGUAACGGCCUACCAAGGCGAUGAUGCAUAGCCGAGUUGAGAGACUGAACGGCCACAUUGGGACUGAGAUACGGCCCAAACUCCUACGGGAGGCAGCAGAC
rnacentral:rRNA from 1 species